UCACUAAAAAUAAAAAUUUUAAUUAAAUUCAAAAAUUUAAGUUUAAUGAAAAGUUUAAAAUAAUAUUUUUAGACGAUAAGACCCUAUGAAGCUUUACUACUCAGUAGUUUUUUUGGGGAAAAAAAUAAAAUUUUUAUUUUAAAAAAGUUUAACUAAGAUCUUAUUGAAAUAAGGGAAAAAGCUACUCUAGGGAUAACAGCAUAAUUUUUAUUAAAGUUCUUAUUAAAUUAAAAGAUUGUGACCUCGAUGUUGAAUUAAGAAAAACCAUUUGUGCAGCAGCUAAUGGUUUAAGGUCUGUUCGACCAAGAAUUCUUACAUGAUCUGAGUUCAAACCGGA
rnacentral:rRNA from 1 species